rnacentral:misc_RNA from 1 species
UCGUCGGGCUUCGCAGCCCUGUCGAGAUAGCACCCUUUGUCCUUUUUGGCGCACUUGUCUUGUUUCCUCGGGCUGGCACCCCCAGCCCGCGAGGACCAACAACCAAACCUUUGCAGUUUCUGUCACGGUCUGAUCUAAACAAAAAAAUCGUAA